rnacentral:rRNA from 1 species
AGUGAACGCUGGCGGUAGGCCUAACACAUGCAAGUCGAACGGCAGCACAGGAGAGCUUGCUCUCUGGGUGGCGAGUGGCGGACGGGUGAGGAAUACAUCGGAAUCUACUCUGUCAUGGGGGAUAACGUAGGGAAACUUACGCUAAUACCGCAUACGACCUACGGGUGAAAGCAGGGGACCUUCGGGCCUUGCGCGAUUGAAUGAGCCGAUGUCGGAUUAGCUAGUUGGCGGGGUAAAGGCACACCAAGGCGACGAUCCGUAGCUGGUCUGAGAGGAUGAUCAGCCACACUGGAACUGAGACACGGUCCAGACUCCGACGGGAGGCAGCAGUGGGGAAUAUUGGACAAUGGGCGCAAGCCUGAUCCAGCCAUACCGCGUGGGUGAAGAAGGCCUUCGGGUUGUAAAGCCCUUUUGUUGGGAAAGAAAUCCAGCUGGCUAAUACCCGGUUGGGAUGACGGUACCCAAAGAAUAAGCACCGGCUAACUUCGUGCCAGCAGCCGCCGUAA